rnacentral:piRNA from 1 species
UGGGAUGCCUUUUAUCUUUCACCUGGCUA